GACGAACGCUGGCGGCGUGCCUAAUACAUGCAAGUAGAACGCCGUUUCGAACGGGUGAGUAUCGCGUAGGUAACUGCCCCAUAGCGGGGGAUAACUAUCGGAAAAGAUAGCUAAAAACGCAAACUGUGAGAUAGAUCGGAGUUGUCUGAGGUAGUUGGUGGGGUAAAGGCUCACCAAGGCCACGAUACCGAGCCGACCUGAGAGGGUGAUCGGCCACACUGGGACGGAGAAACGGCCCCGACCCCCAACGGAAGCAACAGUAGGGAAUCUUCGGCAAAUGCCGGUAGUCUGACCGAGCAACGCCGGGUGAGUGGAGAAGGUUUUCGGAUCGGAAAACUCCGUUGUGAGAGAAGCGGUAACUAACCAGAAAGGGACGGCUAACUACGUGCCAGCCGCCGCGGUAAUUC
rnacentral:rRNA from 1 species